rnacentral:rRNA from 1 species
AUUGAACGCUGGCGGCAUGCCUUACACAUGCAAGCCGAACGGCAGCACGGAGCUUGCUCUGGUGGCGAGUGGCGAACGGGUGAGUAAUAUAUCGGAACGUACCCAAGAGUGGGGGAUAACGUAGCGAAAGUUACGCUAAUACCGCAUACGAUCUAAGGAUGAAAGCAGGGGACCUUCGGGCCUUGUGCUCCUGGAGCGGCCGAUAUCUGAUUAGCUAGUUGGUGAGGUAAAGGCUCACCAAGGCAUCGAUCAGUAGCGGGUCUGAGAGGACGACCAGCCACACUGGAACUGAGACACGGUCCAGACUCCUACGGGAGGCAGCAGUGGGGAAUUUUGGACAAUGGGGGCAACCCUGAUCCAGCAAUGCCGCGUGAGUGAAGAAGGCCUUCGGGUUGUAAAGCUCAUUUGUCAGGGAAGAAACGGUGAAGGCUAAUAUCCUUUGCUAAUGACGGUACCUGAAGAAUAAGCACCGGCUAACUACGUGCCAGCAGCCGCCGUAA